AGUGGCGGACGGGUGAGUAACGCGUAAGAAUCUAACUUCGGGACGGGGACAACAGUGGGAAACGACUGCUAAUACCCGAUGUGCCGCGAGGUGAAACCUAAUUGGCCUGAAGAAGAGCUUGCGUCUGAUUAGCUAGUUGGUGGGGUAAGAGCCUACCAAGGCGACGAUCAGUAGCUGGUCUGAGAGGAUGAGCAGCCACACUGGGACUGAGACACGGCCCAGACUCCUACGGGAGGCAGCAGUGGGGAAUUUUCCGCAAUGGGCGAAAGCCUGACGGAGCAACGCCGCGUGAGGGAGGAAGGUCUUUGGAUUGUAAACCUCUUUUCUCAAGGAAGAAGUUCUGACGGUACUUGAGGAAUCAGCCUCGGCUAACUCCGUGCCAGCAGCCGCGGUAAUACGGGGGAGGCAAGCGUUAUCCGGAAUUAUUGGGCGUAAAGCGUCCGCAGGUGGUCAGCCAAGUCUGCCGUCAAAUCAGGUUGCUUAACGACCUAAAGGCGGUGGAAACUGGCAGACUAGAGAGCAGUAGGGGUAGCAGGAAUUCCCAGUGUAGCGGUGAAAUGCGUAGAGAUUGGGAAGAACAUCGGUGGCGAAAGCGUGCUACUGGGCUGUAUCUGACACUCAGGGACGAAAGCUAGGGGAGCGAAAGGGAUUAGAUACCCCUGUAGUCCUAGCCGUAAACGAUGGAUACUAGGCGUGGCUU
rnacentral:rRNA from 1 species